UGGAAACGGGGUCUAAUACCGGAUACGACCAUCUUGGGCAUCCUUGGUGGUGGAAAGCUCCGGCGGUGCAGGAUGGGCCCGCGGCCUAUCAGCUUGUUGGUGAGGUAACGGCUCACCAAGGCGACGACGGGUAGCCGGCCUGAGAGGGCGACCGGCCACACUGGGACUGAGACACGGCCCAGACUCCUACGGGAGGCAGCAGUGGGGAAUAUUGCACAAUGGGCGCAAGCCUGAUGCAGCGACGCCGCGUGAGGGAUGACGGCCUUCGGGUUGUAAACCUCUUUCAGCAGGGAAGAAGCGAAAGUGACGGUACCUGCAGAAGAAGCGCCGGCUAACUACGUGCCAGCAGCCGCGGUAAUACGUAGGGCGCGAGCGUUGUCCGGAAUUAUUGGGCGUAAAGAGCUCGUAGGCGGCUUGUCGCGUCGGUUGUGAAAGCCCGGGGCUUAACCCCGGGUCUGCAGUCGAUACGGGCAGGCUAGAGUUCGGUAGGGGAGAUCGGAAUUCCUGGUGUAGCGGUGAAAUGCGCAGAUAUCAGGAGGAACACCGGUGGCGAAGGCGGAUCUCUGGGCCGAUACUGACGCUGAGGAGCGAAAGCGUGGGGAGCGAACAGGAUUAGAUACCCUGGUAGUCCACGCCGUAAACGGUGGGCACUAGGUGUGGGCGACAUUCCACGUCGUCCGUGCCGCAGCUAACGCAUUAAGUGCCCCGCCUGGGGAGUACGGCCGCAAGGCU
rnacentral:rRNA from 1 species